ACUCCUGCGGGAGGCAGCAGUGGGGAAUAUUGGACAAUGGGCGCAAGCCUGAUCCAGCCAUGCCGCGUGAGUGAUGAAGGCCCUAGGGGUGUAAAGCUCUUUCACCGGAGAAGAUAAUGACGGUAACCGGAGAAGAAGCCCCGGCUAACUUCGUGCCAGCAGCCGCGGUAAUACGAAGGGGGCUAGCGUUGUUCGGAUUUACUGGGCGUAAAGCGCACGUAGGCGGACUAUUAAGUCAGGGGUGAAAUCCCGGGGCUCAACCCCGGAACUGCCUUUGAUACUGGUAGUCUUGAGUUCGGGAGAGGUGGGUGGAAUUCCGAGUGUAGCGGUGAAAUUCGUAGAUAUUCGGAGGAACACCAGUGGCGAAGGCGGCUCACUGGCUCGAUACUGACGCUGAGGUGCGAAAGCGUGGGGAGCAAACAGGAUUAGAAACCCGAGUAGUCCCA
rnacentral:rRNA from 1 species